rnacentral:rRNA from 1 species
UACGUAGGGGGUUAGCGUUGUCCGGAUUUAUUGGGCGUAAAGAGCGUGUAGGCGGCCGGGUAGGUCUGCUGUGAAAACUCGAGGCUCAACCUCGAGACGUCGGCGGAAACCAUCUGGCUAGAGUCCGGAAGAGGAGAGUGGAAUUCCUGGUGUAGCGGUGAAAUGCGCAGAUAUCAGGAAGAACACCCGUGGCGAAGGCGGCUCUCUGGGACGGUACUGACGCUGAGACGCGAAAGCGUGGGGAGCGAACAGG